UACGAAGGGGGCGAGCGUUGUUCGGAUUUACUGGGCGUAAAGGGCGCGCAGGCGGCGCAUUUUGUCAGGCGUGAAAGCCCCGGGCUUAACCUGGGAACUGCGUUUGAUACGGAUGGGCUAGAGUUCGGGAGAGGAGAGUGGAAUUCCUGGUGUAGCGGUGAAAUGCGUAGAUAUCUGGAGGAACACCGGUGGCGAAGGCGACAUCCUGGACCGGUAUUGACGCUGAGGCGCGAAAGCCAGGGGAGCAAACGGG
rnacentral:rRNA from 1 species